rnacentral:lncRNA from 1 species
ACCGUACCAUCUGAUGUGUAUAAAAAUAAUAUUUUAUAUAUAUUUGAUAAUUUAUUUAUUAUGUGUAUUUUAUUAAUAAUUUUUAUUUAUUACUAAUCCCCAAUAUUAAUAACUAUCCCCAAUAUUUAUUAAUAACUAUCCCCAAUAUUCUCCUCCACCACCAUCCGCCACCCAUCACCGCCGUCCACCACCAAAUAAAAAUUCAUGGAACCAAUAAUCCAAGCAGUUUGUAGCAAAGAGCAAGAAAAUAACAUCACCAACACUUCAUACCCACAUCAAAACCAUUCCUUUUUUAGAACAAUCGUGCUCCUCAAAUCAAACCCAGAAAACCCAAAAGGUUGAAGAUAAAAUCGAGCCCUGUAACAGCAGAGCAGUCCAUCCAAGCCUCCAUAGGCACCAAAACUCUAUUAAAGGAAAACACUUUUGUCCAAGAACCAUCCGAACCAACAUAAAAUCAAUGAACAAAAAAGCAUCAGUUGAUAGGAAAUUAAAACAUUAAUCAACCGAAACAAAUAUAAAAAUAAACCCAGAUUCCGGCGAAAUCAAGUCAAGAUCUGAGAAAAAAAUAAGCUUAGCAAAACAUAUAAACCCAUCCCCAAAUCAGACACAGCAAACCCCAGACCAGAUCCAAAACAAACCAAAUCCAAUAGGGUGCUCGCCGAACGAGAAGAUGAGGAAGAAGAGUUUCGGAGCCUUCCGUCCAAUCGCCGAACGACUGCUAGAGAAAACCUUAAAGAGAGAGAAAAUAGAUCUGAUGACUGAUAUGAAAAAGAAGAUUUGAAUGGGUUUAGAGAAAACCAUCGCCGAACAACUGCAUGAGGAAGAAGAUUUGAUAUCGUAUGUUAGUAAUAGAAUGGGUUUAGAUGACUGAUUUAGUAAUAGAAAAAAAGAAUGGGUUUAGAUAGAGAAAAUAGAAUGGGUUUAGA